UCAAAAUGUAACUGGGAUGACUCUUGGUACUACUCCUCUACAAUCCACAGGCGGGUACCCAGACAUGGGUUCUUCUUCAGUUCAUCAGGCAAAUCUUGAUCCCUUGGAAGAAUGGUCACGCCAACAUGAGAACGACCUCUUAUCAAGGAGUCAUGAGAUGCUGGAGAGUGAGGACAUGCAGCAGCUGCUCCAGCUCUGUAGCAUGGGAGGAGGGGAUGGAGAAGCUGGAUAUGGUUUCCCGUCGUUUAUGCAAAAUACACCGAUGGUGCAUGAGGACCGAGUGAGAUCAGGAAAAGCGGUUGUUGGGUGGCUAAAGAUAAAAGCUGCAAUGAAAUGGGGAAUCUUCAUAAGGAAGAAAGCUGCUGAGAAAAGAAGAGCUCAGAUUGUUGAGCUUGAUUAAUAGAUGAUUGAUUAUACAGUAUAACUAAACAUACCAGAUCACAUACUUCACGUUUUGGGUUUCGUUUGCUUGACAUAUUACAGGUUUUGUGACAUCAACGUUAAAAUCUUUCAUCUAUUAGUCCAUCGAGUUUGCUUAUGUUUUCGAAAAGAUGUUUGGUAAAAUAAGUCGAGGCCAUAACUUAAAGGCUUGCUCCAUAAGUCUGUCGUAUAGAGAAGAAAGAUAGAUGCCUGUGGAGUGUAGACAACUCGAGAUUCUCACCUUGAGGUCACGGGUUUGCUAACAUGUAUUUCAGACAGAGGAACGCACCUUGGAUCUGCAAAAGCGUUGAAUGACUCAAAGGCUUCAAAGAAGUAGCUGUAUCAUGUAUGCUUGUCUGGUAGUCUCUCUUCCGCGUGAAGUUGAUUUAUUAAUGUCUUCAAUUCCAACAUAUAAACCUUCUCGAGCAUGAUUAAUGGAGGUUCUUUGGUGGGUUUCUUAUCGGAAUAUAAGAAACCGUCUCUUAACUUUUAACUAAAAAAGCUAAGAACCAACUCUUAAAUCCCCAUUGAUCAUGCUCAAAUAUCUUCAAUUGAUAGACCUCUAUAAGAUAUUUAGAUGCCCAACUUGUGAAGAACGUCUUUUGUAUCAAUUUCGUUUCACCUUAAAUAAGUAAGAGAACCAAUAAUCAAAUGUGAUAAUCCAUUUUUUUCUAAAAAAUGCAUAUUUUAGAAUUUUCACAAAUAUUAAGAAAAAUUUAAUAUUUAACUAUCAAUAUAUUAAUUUUUAAAAUUAUAACAAUUUUCCAUAAUUCUAAACCAAUAACAAUUCAAUAAAUCCAAAAUUGUCAAUUAAUAUAUUUUUUUAAGUUUACAAUUAUUAUUAAAAAUACAUAGAAAAUGUAAAACAUUGAUUUUUAAAAAUAAGUAAAAAGUGAUAGAACAUGCAUUAUUUAGAAACAUAAUGAAUAUUAUUUAUUAUUUUUUAAAUGAUCACACAUGCAAUGCAUGAAACAUGUUUACAUCUUAUAUCAUAAGAUUUUCCGUCAUUUCUUCAAAAAUAGUUAUCCGCAACACUUAUCAAAACUUGUGCUAAAAUUUAACGCCAAUGUUUUGGACUGAUUCUAAGAUGGUUGCACUUGGGAGACUGGUGAAAUGAAACUUGUCAACAUUAACGAUGGUUAGGAGAAGAUGAGAUCUUUUCUGAGCUGGUCCCAUACACUCAUCUAGAAAAAGCAACGUAAUGGUCAAGUUAAAUAAAUGUAAUUUAACACACACAAAAAGAGACAUUAAAACAAAACCGCGUCUCCUACUCCAUAUAGCCAUCUUAAAACCAUCUUUUUCCAUGAUUCCAUCUUCCAGCUGUACAAACCAAAACGCGCAUUUGUCUUUUCUUCAGUCUUCACCAAACCCAUCGUCCGAACCGAACCUUCUUCUCUGACUCUGACCGUGUCUUCCCUUACUAUAAAUACACACCAUUUUAACCUCUCUAACAAAUCUUCAGUCAAAACAAAACCCACCAAAAAAAGAAGAAGCUAGAUAUGGCGAUGAUCAACUACUCCACCAUCUUGUUUCCUCUGCUUGCUGCUAUUAUGAUUUACUCUGUUUCCGCCAAUUUUCACCAAGACGUGGAGAUAACUUGGGGAGAUGGACGUGGACAGAUCACUAACAACGGCGAUCUUCUUACACUCUCUCUCGACAAGUCUUCUGGCUCAGGAUUCCAAUCCAAGAAUGAAUAUUUGUUUGGUAAAAUCGACAUGCAGAUCAAGCUCGUCGCCGGAAACUCCGCAGGAACAGUCACUGCUUACUAUGUAAGUCCCUUCACCCUAACAUACAAAUGUCUUUUUAAAAAAAAAAAAUUAGAGCAAAAUAAGCUUAAUGGUUUCUUUUGUUUUUUGUAUAGUUGAAAUCGCCUGGAUCUACAUGGGACGAGAUUGAUUUUGAGUUCUUGGGAAAUCUAAGUGGUGAUCCUUACACACUUCAUACCAAUGUCUUUACUCAAGGCAAAGGAGACAGAGAACAACAGUUCAAACUCUGGUUCGAUCCCACUAUUGAUUUCCACACUUACUCUAUCCUCUGGAACCCACAACGCAUUAUGUAAGUGUUCUUGCAUGUUUCUAAAUUCGAAAAUGGUUACAACGAGUACCUUUUCUACAUAUCCAAAAUCCAAUAUUAUUGUAUAGAGAAAAAUAAAAUAAUGGAUUCUUCAGGAAAUAGCAAACCAACCGAACCAAAACUGUCCAUACAUAUAUAUUAGACUAUGAUUUUACUGUUUUAUUAUAGACCAAAAACUGAACACCCAAAGUCAGUCUUUUAACUCAUAACGCAACGUUUUUAUUGGAUCUAAUCUUGUUUGUCUUUUAACAUUUUUUUCAGAUUCUCUGUGGAUGGAACUCCGAUAAGGGAAUUUAAGAACAUGGAAUCUCAAGGAACUUUGUUCCCUAAGAACCAACCGAUGAGGAUGUACUCAAGUCUAUGGAACGCCGAAGACUGGGCAACAAGGGGUGGUUUGGUCAAAACCGACUGGUCUAAAGCUCCCUUCACCGCUUCAUACCGUGGCUUCAGUGAAGAAGCUUGUGUCGUGUCAAACGGAAAGUCAUCGUGCUCCAACGGGUCAGGACAAGGGAGUGGUAGUGGUUCGUGGUUGUCCCAGGAGUUAGACUCGACGGGUCAAGAACGGAUGAGAUGGGUGCAGAGUAAUUACGUGAUCUACAAUUACUGUACGGACGCUGGUUGGCAAAAUCAAACCGUUGUACACUACUAAAUCUCAGUUCUGUGUGUUUUUCUGUAAGCUUAUAUUCUAUGUCUAUCUUUUAUUGCAGGGUAUAGUGUUUUGCAGCAAGAUCAGUUUAUGGGAAUACAUCAACAUCAAACUCAAACUCAAACAAACUUAGAGAAUCAAAAUGUAACUGGGAUGACUCUUGGUACUACUCCUCUACAAUCCACAGGCGGGUACCCAGACAUGGGUUCUUCUUCAGUUCAUCAGGCAAAUCUUGAUCCCUUGGAAGAAUGGUCACGCCAACAUGAGAACGACCUCUUAUCAAGGAGUCAUGAGAUGCUGGAGAGUGAGGACAUGCAGCAGCUGCUCCAGCUCUGUAGCAUGGGAGGAGGGGAUGGAGAAGCUGGAUAUGGUUUCCCGUCGUUUAUGCAAAAUACACCGAUGGUGCAUGAGGACCGAGAGAGAUCAGGAAAAGCGGUUGUUGGGUGGCUAAAGAUAAAAGCUGCAAUGAAAUGGGGAAUCUUCAUAAGGAAGAAAGCUGCUGAGAAAAGAAGAGCUCAGAUUGUUGAGCUUGAUUAAUAGAUGAUUGAUUAUACAGUAUAACUAAACAUACCAGAUCACAUACUUCACGUUUUGGGUUUCGUUUGCUUGACAUAUUACAGGUUUUGUGACAUCAACGUUAAAAUCUUUCAUCUAUUAGUCCAUCGAGUUUGCUU
rnacentral:lncRNA from 1 species